rnacentral:rRNA from 1 species
UACAGGGGGUGCAAACGUUGCUCGGAAUCAUUGGGCGUAAAGCGCACGCAGGUGGCUGAGUCAGUCGAUUGUGAAAGCCCUGGGCUUAACCUGGGAAUUGCAGUCGAUACUACUCGGCUUGAGUAUGGGAGAGGGCAGUGGAAUUCCCGGUGUAGCGGUGAAAUGCGUAGAUAUCGGGAGGAACAUCAGUGGCGAAGGCGGCUGCCUGGCCCAAUACUGACACUCAGGUGCGACAGCGUGGGGAGCAAACAGG